CAAAUCAUUUAAGAAACUUUACAGUUAUCUUCAUGGUGUCGAGAGAUUAAAUAUCUCAUCGUUCAAGAUAAAAGUUUGCGGCACCCCUUCUUGUUCAGAGACAAGCGCGAGGCGUGACUGUGGUAUCUAUGCAAUGAGGUUUAUUUGGAUAUUCAAGGCUAAUUUUUACCCAGAUGUAUUCAAGGCUGACAUCGAAAGUUUUCGACAGUUCUUCGCCGGAAUGAUGCUCACUUAUGAUUCUCCUGAUUAUUUGGCAAGUUUCGUUCGCGAACAGAUUGAAGAAUUCGAAAGUAAGAACUGUUUUACAAUGGUUAUCCUUUUUUCGUCCAGUGAAGUCAAUGAAGUGAACUUGAUUGUACAAAAUAAGGAAAUGAAGUACAUAAUAACAUUACAUAUUCAUUCCAUUGUCUGUAUCAUAUAUUCUAA